rnacentral:lncRNA from 1 species
AGUUCUUCCAUUUAUUCUAAACACUCAAAGCUCUGUUCUUUUCAAGUUCUGAUUCUAAACGAAGGUAAAAUUCAUUACAAGCCUUGGUAGAAGUUGGUCUAAACUUCACAACAUAUAUAAACAAAACAAAAAGCAAUUGAUAUAUGAAGCAAAUUUAUAUGUCUUACUAUCGAGGCUUCUUCCAUUCCAUUCUACGGUAGAACUCUA